rnacentral:tRNA from 1 species
GUCCUCGUAGUUCAAUGGAUAGAACGGGAGCCUUCUAAGCUCUAAAUCAAGGUCCGAUUCCUUGCGAGGACACUA